rnacentral:tRNA from 1 species
GCCUUCGUGGUGUAUUGGUCAGUAUACUCGGCGCAUAUUCGAGAGAUCCGUGGUUCGAGUCCCGGUGAGGGCA